rnacentral:rRNA from 1 species
UUCCGGUUGAUCCUGCCGGACCUGACUGCUAUCGGAUUGAUACUAAGCCAUGCGAGUCUUUGCAGUAAUGCAAGGCAUACGGCUCAGUAACACGUAGUCAACUUACCCUAUGGACGAGGAUAAUCUCGGGAAACUGAGCAUAAUACUCGAUAGAUCAUAAUGCCUGGAAUGGUUUAUGGUUAAAAUGAUUCGUCGCCGUAGGAUGGGACUGCGGCCUAUCAGCUUGUUGGUGAGGUAAUGGCCCACCAAGGCGAUUACAGGUACGGGCUCUGAGAGGAGAAGCCCGGAGAUGGGUACUGAGACAAGGACCCAGGCCCUAUGGGGCGCAGCAGGCGAGAAAACUUUGCAAUGUGCGAAAGCACGACAAGGUUAAUCCGAGUGAUUUCUGCUAAAGAAAUCUUUUGCAAGUCAUAAAACCACUAGUGAAUAAGGGGUGGGCAAGUUCUGGUGUCAGCCGCCGCGGUAAAACCAGCACCUCAAGUGGUCAGGAUGAUUAUUGGGCCUAAAGCAUCCGUAGCCGGCUCUGUAAGUUUUCGGUUAAAUCCAUGUGCUCAACGCAUGGGCUGCCGAAAAUACUGCAUAGCUAGGGAGUGGGAGAGGUAGACGGUACUCGGUAGGAAGGGGUAAAAUCCUUUGAUCUAUCGAUGACCACCUGUGGCGAAGGCGGUCUACCAGAACACGUUCGACGGUGAGGGAUGAAAGCUGGGGGAGCAAACCGGAUUAGAUACCCGGGUAGUCCCAGCUGUAAACGAUGCAGACUCGAUGAUGCAUUGGCAUAUAGCCAGUGCAGUGUCGCAGGGAAGCCGUUAAGUCUGCCGCCUGGGAAGUACGUACGCAAGUAUGAAACUUAAAGGAAUUGGCGGGGGAGCACCACAAGGGGUGAAGCCUGCGGUUCAAUUGGAGUCAACGCCGGG